AACGCUAGCUACAGGCUUAACACAUGCAAGUCGAGGGGCAGCAUUUUAGUUUGCUUGCAAACUAAAGAUGGCGACCGGCGCACGGGUGAGUAACACGUAUCCAACCUGCCGAUAACUCGGGGAUAGCCUUUCGAAAGAAAGAUUAAUAUCCGAUGGUAUAUUAAAACCGCAUGGUUUUACUAUUAAAGAAUUUCGGUUAUCGAUGGGGAUGCGUUCCAUUAGUUUGUUGGCGGGGUAACGGCCCACCAAGACUACGAUGGAUAGGGGUUCUGAGAGGAAGGUCCCCCACAUUGGAACUGAGACACGGUCCAAACUCCUACGGGAGGCAGCAGUGAGGAAUAUUGGUCAAUGGACGAGAGUCUGAACCAGCCAAGUAGCGUGAAGGAUGACUGCCCUAUGGGUUGUAAACUUCUUUUAUAUGGGAAUAAAGUAUUCCACGUGUGGGAUUUUGUAUGUACCAUAUGAAUAAGGAUCGGCUAACUCCGUGCCAGCAGCCGCGGUAAUACGGAGGAUCCGAGCGUUAUCCGGAUUUAUUGGGUUUAAAGGGAGCGUAGGUGGAUUGUUAAGUCAGUUGUGAAAGUUUGCGGCUCAACCGUAAAAUUGCAGUUGAAACUGGCAGUCUUGAGUACAGUAGAGGUGGGCGGAAUUCGUGGUGUAGCGGUGAAAUGCUUAGAUAUCACGAAGAACUCCGAUUGA
rnacentral:rRNA from 1 species